UACGUAGGGUGCAAGCGUUGUCCGGAAUUAUUGGGCGUAAAGAGCUCGUAGGCGGUCUGUCGCGUCUGGUGUGAAAACUCAGGGCUUAACCCUGAGCUUGCAUCGGGUACGGGCAGACUAGAGUGCGGUAGGGGAGACUGGAAUUCCUGGUGUAGCGGUGAAAUGCGCAGAUAUCAGGAAGAACACCUAUGGCGAAGGCAGCACUCUGGGACGGUACUGACGCUGAGACGCGAAAGCGUGGGGAGCGAACAGG
rnacentral:rRNA from 1 species